rnacentral:lncRNA from 1 species
GUGGCGAGCACAAAGGAAGGUAGGUCCAAAGAUCGUUUUAAUUUUGUUUAUUUAUUGUUAUUUUAUGUAUUUGAAAGAGAUAGGGAGGGAGGGAGGGAGGGAGAGAGAGAGAGAGAGAGAAAUGUGCCCUUUUUUCACUGGGUCAGGCGGAUAUGCUGUCCCCUUAGGGCUCCAGGCCAGACUCAAAGACAGUGUCCUCUGCCAAGCUCUCCCACUAGCUGCAUCGCCAGUGGCACAGGCUGUUGCAGUCUGCCCUCACCUCAUUCUCUAAAGCUGGUGCUUCCUCCAGCUCUCAGCUGUGGGGGUCCUGUGUUGUGUCCGACCUUGUUGCUGUGUGUCCACACCUUCCAUGCUGCUUCAUGGCACCCCUCUUCCUUCUGUAGAAUUCCCACUGCAGAUUUCAUUUUAACUCUCCCCUGGCAAUGCACUUCCUCCACUUUUUUUUUUUUUGUUACUGUUUUCCCCUAACCUAAAGCAGUGUCUUCUUUCCCUAUUUCACCAUCUUUAAGACCCCCUAUUUAUUUAUUUCAAAGGCAAAGUUACAGAGAGACAGACAGAGAGAAUGAAGGAGAGACAGAUAGAGAUCUUCCAUCUGCUUGUUCACUCCCUCAAUGGCCACAAUGGCUGGGGCUGGACCAGGCCAAAGCCAGGAACCUGGAACUCUAUCUGAGCUUCCCAUAUGGGUGAAAGGGGUCCAUGUACUUGGGCCAACUUCUUCUACUUUCUCAGGUGCAUUAGCAGGGAGAUGGACUGGAAGUGGAGCAGCCAUGACUCAAAUGGGCAUUCAUAUGGGAUGCUGCAGUUACAGGCAGUAGCCUAACCCACACUAGGUCGCUGGCCCCUAUCUGUAUAUUUAGUGCAUGUACAGCCUAUUUUUGCUUUAUCUCAAAAUGUUUCCACUUUCCUCAUUCUUGUUUGAUCUACAAACUUUUCCUCAUUUUCACUUUUUGUUUUCAUAAGGAAUUCCUUGUAUAUUUAUUCACCCACAUGUUUGCUCUUAUUUAGUUCUCAUUUCUGAGAUAACUUUCCCUUUUGUUUGUAUAGAAAAAAGCUGUGUUCAGGUCCAUAUAGUUUUUGUGACUUCAGAGAGCUCUCUCUUUUGUUGUUUUGUACAGUGUUAAAAGACAUUAGCAGUUUGCUUUCUGAGUUCUCCUGGCUGUUACCUGACAGGUAUUCCACGGGCCACGGGCUGUGGGACAGCAAAGACUGAUUUAGCAGUAACUUAUUGACAAGUUCACUUUACAGAGGAAGAGCUGUGCCUUUCGGAAGCAACAGCCACAGGGCAAAGAGGAAGAAUUUUAUGCUGUAAAGAAGAGUAAAUGUGUAAGGAAAAGAAGAAAAAUAAAUAACAGCCCUGAGAAGCUGCA